UCGGCACAUAACAAAUGUUGA
rnacentral:piRNA from 1 species